rnacentral:rRNA from 1 species
GAGUUUGAUCAUGGCUCAGGAUGAACGCUGGCGGCGUGUCUAAGGCAUGCAAGUCGUAUGGGUUUAGACCCAUGGCAAACGGGAGAGUAACACAUUGGUAACCUACCCCAAAGUCAGGCAUAACCUCGCGAAAGUGAGGAUAAUUCCUGAUGGUAUCAAGUAGCAUAUGCUAUUUGCUUAAAGCUUCGGCGCUUUGGGAGGGACCUAUGCCCCAUCAGCUAGUUGGUAAGGUAAUGGCUUACCAAGGCGACGACGGGUACCGGGUGUGAGAGCAUGGCCCGGCUCACUGGGACUGAGACACUGCCCAGACUCCUACGGGAGGCUGCAGUCAAGAAUAUUCCUCAAUGGCCGAAAGGCUGAAGGAGCGACGCCGCGUGUGUGAUGAAGCCCUUUGGGGUGUAAAGCACUUUUAUAUGGGACGAACAAAUGACGGUACCAUAUGAAUAAGGGGCUGCUAAACUCGUGCCAGCAGCAGCGGUAAUACGAGUGCCCCGAGCGUUAUCCGGAUUUAUUGGGCGUAAAGCGUACGUAGACGGUUUGUAACAUCUCCUGUUAAAUCACAAGGCUCAACUUUGUGACUGCGGGAGAUAUGGAUAAACUAGAGACUGGGAGAGGUAAGCGGAAUUGCUGGUGUAGGGGUUAAAUCCGUUAAUAUCAGCAGGAACACCAAAAGCGAAGGCAGCUUACUAGAACAGUUCUGACGUUAAGGUACGAAAGCGUGGGUAGCGAAUGGGAUUAGAUACCCCAGUAGUCCACGCCGUAAACGAUGGAUGCUAAACAUUGGAAGUGUCGACCCUUUCAGUGUUGUUUAAUCAAGCUAACGCCUUAAGCAUCCCGCCUGGGGAGUACGGUCGCAAGAUUA